CGCGAACGCUGGCGGCGUGCCUAACACAUGCAAGUCGUGCGCAGGCUCGGCUCCUUUUGGAGCUGGGCGCUGAGCGGCAAACGGGUGAGUAACGCGUGGGUAACCUACCCCCAGGAGGGGGAUAACCCCGGGAAACCGGGGCUAAUACCCCAUAAAGCCGAGUGUCACUAAGACACUCGGCCAAAGGGGGCCUCUGGCCUUUGGCCAUGCUCUCGCCUGGGGAUGGGCCCGCGUCCCAUCAGGUAGUUGGUGGGGUAACGGCCCACCAAGCCUGUGACGGGUAGCCGGCCUGAGAGGGUGGCCGGCCACGGCGGGACUGAGACACGGCCCGCACCCCUACGGGGGGCAGCAGUGGGGAAUCGUGGGCAAUGGGCGAAAGCCUGACCCCGCGACGCCGCGUGGGGGAAGAAGCCCUGCGGGGUGUAAACCCCUGUCGGGGGGGACGAUGCGGACUUGGGUCAAUAGCCCAAGUUCGUGACGGUACCCCCAGAGGAAGGGACGGCUAACUACGUGCCAGCAGCCGCGGUAAUACGUAG
rnacentral:rRNA from 1 species